rnacentral:rRNA from 1 species
UACGUAGGUGGCAAGCGUUGUCCGGAUUUACUGGGCGUAAAGAGCGCGCAGGCGGUUGUGCAAGUCGCGUGUGAAAGCCCCCGGCUCAACUGGGGAGGGUCACGCGAUACUGAUCGACUCGAAGGCAGGAGAGGGUAGUGGAAUUCCCGGUGUAGUGGUGAAAUGCGUAGAGAUGUGGAGGAACACCGAUGGCGAAGGCAGCCCCCUGGGUCAAGAUUGACGCUCAUGCACGAAAACGUGGGGAGCAAACAGG